rnacentral:rRNA from 1 species
GAUCCUGGCUCAGAAUCAACGCUGGCGGCGUGCCUAACACAUGCAAGUCGCACGAGAAAGGGGAGCAAUCCCUGAGUAAAGUGGCGCACGGGUGAGUAACACGUGACUAAUCUACCCUCGAGUGGGGAAUAACUGAGAGAAAUCUUAGCUAAUACCGCAUAACACUUACGAGUCAAAGCAGCAAUGCGCUUGGGGAGGAGGUCGCGGCCGAUUAGCUAGUUGGCGGGGUAAUGGCCCACCAAGGCGAUGAUCGGUAUCCGGCCUGAGAGGGCGCACGGACACACUGGAACUGAAACACGGUCCAGACUCCUACGGGAGGCAGCAGUGGGGAAUUUUGCGCAAUGGGGGAAACCCUGACGCAGCAACGCCGCGUGGAGGAUGAAGUAUCUUGGUACGUAAACUCCUUUCGAUGGGGAAGAUAAUGACGGUACCCAUAGAAGAAGCCCCGGCUAACUUCGUGCCAGCAGCCGCGGUAAUACGAGGGGGGCAAGCGUUGUUCGGAUUUAUUGGGCGUAAAGGGUGCGUAGGCGGUUUGGCAAGUCUCAUGUGAAAUCUUCGGGCUCAACCCGAAGCCUGCAUGAGAAACUGCCGGGCUUGAGUAUUGGAGAGGUGAGUGGAAUUUCCGGUGUAGCGGUGAAAUGCGUAGAUAUCGGAAGGAACACCUGUGGCGAAAGCGGCUCACUGGACAAU